GGCCCCAUCGUCUAGAGGUCUAGGACGCCAGAUUCUCAUUCUGGAGAUCAGGGGUUCGACUCCCCUUGGGGCCG
rnacentral:tRNA from 1 species